rnacentral:rRNA from 1 species
CUUGAACACUGGCGGCAGGCCUAACACAUGAACGUCGAGCGGAGCGGCGGACGGGCGAGUAAUGCCUAGGAAUCGGCCUGGUAGUGGGGGAUAAAGUCGGGAAACGGGCGCUACUCCCGCCUACCAUCACAUGAGCCGAGGGCGUCUGAGCUAGUUGGUGGGGUAAAGGCCUGCCAAGGCGACGAUACCUCACUGGUCUGAGAGGAUGAUCAGUCACACUGGAACUGAGACACGGUCCAGACUCCUACGGGAGGCAGCAGUGGGGAAUAUUGGACAAGGGGCGAAAGCCUGAUCCAGCCAUGCCGCGUGUGUGAAGAAGGUCUUCGGAUUGUAAAGCACUUUAAGUUGGGAGGCGUUACCAACAGAAUAAGCACCGGCUAACUUCGUGCCAGCCGCCGCGAUAAUUC